GGGCGGCGGGCACUGGGGCGGCGGGGCUGCGGGCCGGGCUCAGCGCCGCCGAGCCCCGCGGGCUCCUUCCCACAUCCUCCCAUCCAAGGCUUUCUCCGAGGGCCCUCUUCGGCGUCUCCAGUUUGCGCCGAGGAUCAAAGCAGAACCUGGACCUGAACCAGUUCCCCGAGGGACCGAAUGCCUCCUGAGUCCGGGCACUGUUCUAGGGCUGCAGACAUGAAACCAAGCAAAAGUCUCUGCUCUCGUGAAACCUGCCUCAAAUUAGGUGUCAAGCAAGUGCCAGGGCAGGCAAAGCACAAAGUGCGCCCACCUCCUGUCAAAGAGCCAAGGCAAACGACAGGACCAGACUCCAGUGCGUUUCAUUCGACACUUUGAGGCCCUGGAUUUUGGAGCAAAGCGUUCCCACGUGAAGCUUUUGCAUGUGUCCCAAAGUUUUCUUCAUGACGACUACCCUCCCCAUCUUUGAUCUGGGGUAGACCUUGGCAUACGUAGACAAACUUUCGCGCGUGUUCAAGAGCACAGCGCUGAGACAGCUAGCAUCUUUCUGGAACAGCCUAAAUAAAAGAGAUUUCUGUUUGAAGAUGAUUAUCACUGUGUACACCCACGUUCAGCAUUCUCAGCCCUGAAGGGGGAAGAAAUGUCCCAGCUCUCAGAAUCUGUGUGGUCUGGUACAUGACUCGACUGUCACCUAGUCUGUGAAGUAUAGUAGCCUAUUUUCAUUUUACAUCUUGCAGAGCUGUUAUCACAUUACUACCUUUUUGAUUGAAAUGUCCACAAUGAAGUACUCUACAAUGGAGUUUCUACAAAUGAUGGAUAAAUUAAUUAAUGACAACUCUGUGCAUAACUAUUAAUACAAUCCCCAUUUUAAAGAUGAGAAACUGAGCCCCAGGAAGGCUUUGUAACUUGACCAGAGUCACAUGUUUGUGAGUAGCAAAACCAAGCAGGACCCUGCGGGGCUACUGGUCUCGGAAGCCUUUCCGUCCCCCAUUUCUUGUUUGUAGGUAGCAGGCUCCAGCGUCCAUGGCCUUCCCAUGGAGGUUCAAACAGUUGCUAAUCAGGGAAGGGAGGGGAUGCAGAGACAAGGGAAGAUCAGUCAAGAAACAAUGGUGCAGCCUUGGGGCAGGGUCCCGGUUCCCUCUCCAGGGAUGCACAGAACAAUGUCUUUGAGUUGUUUACAGAACUAAAACCCCCAUCAAAUGGAAGAUGAAGCAUUCUUCAUUCUAGAAGACAGGAAGCACAGAAGCUCAUCAGGAGACCUCCUAAGGCCGGAUUAAAGGAGCACAGGCCCUGCACACACCCUGGUUCUUAUCAGCAACCCCACCCUGGAGCCAUUGCUAUAAAACUCCUCACCAAAUCCUCCCGGGUUGGGACACACAGUUUUCAAAGGCAGGAACCUGCUGUGUCCCCCUUUGCCUGGAAAAGUAUUAAAGCUCUUCUUUUCUACUUCACCCAGCUGUGUCUCCAAGAUUCCAUUCAGCACCGGUGCACGGAGGCGGAGUUUUCUGCAUCAGUAUUGAAGCCAGAAUUGGAAUGCGGGUACUUGGUUCCGGUGCUGGCACUUUAAACCAUCACGUUUUCAUUCCUCCAUGAGUGUCUCCAAAAAGACAUUUCAGACUUAUGAAAUGUACAUUUAUAUUAAGCACUUGGUGUUUAUUUUAUGACUCCACACCGUUUUAGUCAUAAAUAUGUAACUUAAAAAUUCUACUGCCAACAACAAACAUACAUCAUUUUGAUUCUGGUCUCACAUCAAAAGGACAGUGCCCCAAGCCUACAGGAACUAGGCACUCAGUCAAUGAAACCAUCACGGUGUCUUAGAUGGAAUACCCUUUUUAGUGGCUAUAGAAAUGUUGAAAUGAAUCUUCUGAAACCAUCCAAAGGGAAAAGGGUCAGUUGCCCUGAUUCUUAGCGAGAAGACUUUUUGCCAUAAAAUCGCCAUUACUGUGUUCCUGGGUCUGACAACCUGUGAUGAAGGAAAAUCAUAAUUUGUAUUCAAAUCAGUUUCUGAAGGACAGAAGUAGGAAAAAGCAAAGGUAGUGAUGUGACUAACUUGUUUCUGGGGAAAGGUGAACGUUCUAAGUAGGAGACAAGAGUUUCUGUUACCGCUAACCUUGAGAUCAUCAUGGACUUGACCAAGACGGCAAUCUUGUCGGGAGAUUCGAUGCAUGCAUGCUGCUGGACCCAAGAAGCUACAAGAUGCUGAAAUGAUGCAUUUGCAGCUGACAUGGUAUGGAGUUUCCAAGCACUGCCUCAUGUAAAUGUCCCUCGUGAAGUUGAUCAGGCACAAAACUUCACAGGAGAAAGGUAGCAUAUAUUUCUGAAACUAGGAAUGAGCUUUCAUUAGUAAUUUAAUUUUGAAAGAGUUUAAAAUGUUUUACAAUAUACCAAAUGUUGAUGCAGGAUGUUAAUUUAUUGUAGGACAUCAUGUUACGAUGAGAAGUACACACAAUUGGAAGUUCUGUGUUCUACCACAAUUAGAUCUGUGACUUUAACAGCAAGGAAAAGUUAACUUGUCUGGUCCUUAGUUUCUACAACUAUAAAACUGAAAGUUUAUCUGGUUGAUUUCAAGAUUCUGUUUCCAACAAUUUCUGAUUCAAUAUACACUUAGUUUCUUUUUUACUGGAAAAAUAUCUUUUCUCAUAGUCUUUCUUGUGUGGAAACAAUUACAUCUUAAAGGAUCUCCUUUAUUUUUCUUUAAAGGGAAACAACCUGUGUCCAGAAAGCUCCUACUUAGCUGGACAUCACAUCAGAGCAGUCAUGGUUUCUUAGAGAUCUGCCUGCCUUGACCUUAAAGACUUUUCUGACCGGAGGCAGUAUAUAGAUCACUCUAAAAAUUUUUAAAUGUUUAAAACAACAGAAAAACAAACAAAAUAUUACUGGGUUGGGGGGGGAGAAUGUGAAAUCUAAAAAAAAGAAGAAAGGAAAAAAAAAAACCCCAAGGGAGAAAGAUAAGGAUCCUAUAAUCAAAAUUUCCAUGUGUUUAGAAAAAACUAUUAUCCAAAUUAUUCUUCAAGUGUUUAACAGUUUAGGAUUUUUAUUCUGCCUUUGGUCAUUAUCUUUUCAUAUGAAUAUGAGUUACAAAGUGACAGUGGCCAAUUUCCGCUUUGGCUUCUGCUGGUGGUUCUGCAGUGGCAAGCCUGUGAUGUUUGAACUCCAUGGAGCAAUAUAAAAGGAUAUUGAUUGAUGGCUCUGUCUUCUAUACAUAUGCAAAUUGUGUUUGCAUUAAUAUUAAUAUUGUCUAGAUACAAAAGGAAACAUUUCCUUUAUCAUUAUAUCAUAAUAAUGAAUAUUAAUAUCUUCUAGACUUCAAUGUAAAUUAAAAACACUACAGUUAUUAAAACUUAUCUCCCGACAUUCUGCUAUGGAUUUGUUCUUUGCCUUCCUCUGAAUCUAAUAUCGUGUGGUUAUUCACAUCGAAAACACCAGGAGGCACAUACAGGAGACUCUGUAUCUGUUACUAUGGUGACUCUUGGACAUAUUUUGAAAGAAAAAGCAACCAUUAUUAUGCAUAAAUUUAAAUACUACUGUCCACCUUUUUUAGAAUUGCCGUUGGAAAUUAGACAUCGCAUUUCAAAAAUUGUUUAAAGUCGUAUGCUUCCUAUCUUUCUUCUCAAGGAAAAUAUAGCUAGUUGGAACAACACAAACAAAUAGCUGAGUUUUUAAGGAGAGUAAACUACAACUUUUGUUCUCCUCUAAAGAUGCUGACACAUUAUUCUGUAUGUAGGCUCUAGAGACAGUCUGAUCUGGCUCAAAUCAUAGCUCUGUCACUUAUUGGAUGUUUAUUUCCCUCUGUAACAUAAAAGGAACCAUAAAGAGGAAUUGGAAUGCAUUAUGGAUAAAUCUGAUUUGAGUAUGCAGACCAAAAUCACUUUUAGGGUGAACGGACAGAGAAAUAAGUGUACAAUAUCUUAUAGUAUUUACUGAUUUAAAGUGUCAUGAUUAGCAUCUUAGAGACUCUUUUGCAGAUCAUGCAUCAUAAUACUGUAAUUGAUACAGGUGUAUUCUAAAGUUGUAUUUUCAGUAUUUUAUUUUCACCUUUUUCCAAAAAAAGUAUUGACUAUGAGUAUCGGGCACUGUGCUAGGUCCUGGGAGACAAUUGACAGUAGCCAGGAUGAAGCCCUGAGAAUCUCUAAUACGUAGACUCUGGGUCGAGAAGAACAAUUGAGAAAAGGGGUCUAAGAAGAGCCAGGCUUGUUAUGUGUAACAAACACAAGACAUGUCAGGAGAGCUGGGGAAAGAGUACACGUUCAGUUGUUAGAGGUAAGGAAUGUGGUUACUGGGUAACAACUGUGGGAACUAUUAGAUAAAGAGCACAUUGGAUUUGGGACCAUAGAAGUUAUUGCUGACCUUGACAAGAGCCAUUUUAGUGGUAAGGCAAUGACAGUAGCUAGAAUGGGAUGAGUGGAAGAUUUAAUUGCAGAUUGGUUUUUAAUUUAAAUAAUCCAUUGUAUUAUCAUUUAUAUACAAUUAAUUUGUGCAUUUUAAGUGUACACUUUGGUAAGGUUUGCCCCACGUAGACACUGAUAGGGAACUGAUGGGAUGACCAUGUGAAGACAGCAAGAAGGCAGCCACGUGUAAGCCAAGGAGAGAGUCCUCGAAGAAGUCAAGACUGCUCCCGCCUUGAUCUUGGACUUCUAACCUCCAGAACUGUGAGAACAUAAACCUCUCUUGUCCAAGCCACCCAGGCUAUGGUACUUUGGGCUCUUUGCUGGGGCUAUGGCAGCCCUAGCAAACGAACACAAGUGUCUGCUCCCUACCACCUUGGGCAACUUGUCUUCUUAUUAAAUGA